AAUCCAUGCUGUGGGCACUUCCGCAAAAGAUCCUUGAAUCGCUCGCAUAUAUCAAACAAGGACUCGAGCUCUAUCUAAUCAAAAGAUGAUAUCUUAUUAUGAAGCUU